AGCGGUGAAAUGCGUAGAGAUCGGGAGGAAUACCAGUGGCGAAGGCGGCCUUCUGGACUGACACUGACACUGAGGUGCGAAAGCGUGGGUAGCAAACAGGAUUAGAUACCCUGGUAGUCCACGCCGUAAACGAUGUCGACCAGCCGUUGGGUGCCUAGCGCACUUUGUGGCGAAGUUAACGCGAUAAGUCGACCGCCUGGGGAGUACGGCCGCAAGGUUAAAACUCAAAUGAAUUGACGGGGGCCCGCACAAGCGGUGGAGCAUGUGGUUUAAUUCGAUGCAACGCGAAGAACCUUACCUACUCUUGACAUCCUGCGAACUUGUGAGAGAUCACUUGGUGCCUUCGGGAGCGCAGAGACAGGUGCUGCAUGGCUGUCGUCAGCUCGUGUUGUGAAAUGUUGGGUUAAGUCCCGUAACGAGCGCAACCCUUGUCCUUAUUUGCCAGCGGGUAAUGCCGGGAACUCUAAGGAGACUGCCGGUGACAAACCGGAGGAAGGUGGGGACGACGUCAAGUCAUCAUGGCCCUUACGAGUAGGGCUACACACGUGCUACAAUGGCCGGUACAAAGGGUUGCGAGCUCGCGAGAGUCAGCUAAUCCCGAAAAGCCGGUCUCAGUCCGGAUCGGAGUCUGCAACUCGACUCCGUGAAGUCGGAAUCGCUAGUAAUCGUGAAUCAGAAUGUCACGGUGAAUACGUUCCCGGGCCUUGCACACACCGCCCGU
rnacentral:rRNA from 1 species